ACACAUGCAGUCGAGCGGAAACGAGUUAACUGAACCUUCGGGGAACGUUAACGGCGUCGAGCGGCGGACGGGUGAGUAAUGCCUAGGAAAUUGCCCUGAUGUGGGGGAUAACCAUUGGAAACGAUGGCUAAUACCGCAUAAUGCCUUCGGGCCAAAGAGGGGGACCUUCGGGCCUCUCGCGUCAGGAUAUGCCUAGGUGGGAUUAGCUAGUUGGUGAGGUAAGGGCUCACCAAGGCGACGAUCCCUAGCUGGUCUGAGAGGAUGAUCAGCCACACUGGAACUGAGACACGGUCCAGACUCCUACGGGAGGCAGCAGUGGGGAAUAUUGCACAAUGGGCGCAAGCCUGAUGCAGCCAUGCCGCGUGUAUGAAGAAGGCCUUCGGGUUGUAAAGUACUUUCAGCAGUGAGGAAGGUGGUGUAGUUAAUAACUGCAUCAUUUGACGUUAGCUGCAGAAGAAGCACCGGCUAACUCCGUGCCAGCAGCCGCGGUAAUACGGAGGGUGCGAGCGUUAAUCGGAAUUACUGGGCGUAAAGCGCAUGCAGGUGGUUUGUUAAGUCAGAUGUGAAAGCCCGGGGCUCAACCUCGGAAUUGCAUUUGAAACUGGCAGACUAGAGUACUGUAGAGGGGGGUAGAAUUUCAGGUGUAGCGGUGAAAUGCGUAGAGAUCUGAAGGAAUACCGGUGGCGAAGGCGGCCCCCUGGACAGAUACUGACACUCAGAUGCGAAAGCGUGGGGAGCAAACAGGAUUAGAUACCCUGGUAGUCCACGCCGUAAACGAUGUCUACUUGGAGGUUGUGGCCUUGAGCCGUGGCUUUCGGAGCUAACGCGUUAAGUAGACCGCCUGGGGAGUACGGUCGCAAGAUUAAAACUCAAAUGAAUUGACGGGGGCCCGCACAAGCGGUGGAGCAUGUGGUUUAAUUCGAUGCAACGCGAAGAACCUUACCUACUCUUGACAUCCAGAGAAGCCAGUAGAGAUACAGGUGUGCCUUCGGGAACUCUGAGACAGGUGCUGCAUGGCUGUCGUCAGCUCGUGUUGUGAAAUGUUGGGUUAAGUCCCGCAACGAGCGCAACCCUUAUCCUUGUUUGCCAGCGAGUAAUGUCGGGAACUCCAGGGAGACUGCCGGUGAUAAACCGGAGGAAGGUGGGGACGACGUCAAGUCAUCAUGGCCCUUACGAGUAGGGCUACACACGUGCUACAAUGGCGCAUACAGAGGGCAGCAAGCUAGCGAUAGUGAGCGAAUCCCAAAAAGUGCGUCGUAGUCCGGAUUGGAGUCUGCAACUCGACUCCAUGAAGUCGGAAUCGCUAGUAAUCGUGGAUCAGAAUGCCACGGUGAAUACGUUCCCGGGCCUUGUACACACCGCCCGUCACACCAUGGGAGUGGGCUGCAAAAGAAGUAGGUAGUUUAACUUCGGGAGAACGCUUAC
rnacentral:rRNA from 1 species